CGUAGGUGGCAAGCGUUGUCCGGAAUUAUUGGGCGUAAAGCGCGCGCAGGCGGUCCUUUAAGUCUGAUGUGAAAGCCCACGGCUCAACCGUGGAGGGUCAUUGGAAACUGGGGGACUUGAGUGCAGGAGAGAAGAGUGGAAUUCCACGUGUAGCGGUGAAAUGCGUAGAGAUGUGGAGGAACACCAGUGGCGAAGGCGACUCUUUGGCCUGUAACUGACGCUGAGGCGCGAAAGCGUGGGGAGCAAACAGGAUUAGAUACCCUGGUAGUCCACGCCGUAAACGAUGAGUGCUAAGUGUUAGAGGGUUUCCGCCCUUUAGUGCUGCAGUAAACGCAUUAAGCACUCCGCCUGGGGAGUACGGCCGCAAGGCUG
rnacentral:rRNA from 1 species